GACGGAAGGUGCAAGCGUUGCUCGGAAUCACUGGGCGUAAAGGGUGCGUAGGCGGACCUGCAAGUCGGGGGUGAAAGCCCGAGGCUCAACCUCGGAACUGCCUUCGAUACUGCGGGUCUCGAGUCCGGGAGAGGUGAGUGGAAUUCCUAGUGUAGAGGUGAAAUUCGUAGAUAUUAGGAAGAACACCAGUGGCGAAGGCGGCUCACUGGCCCGGUACUGACGCUGAGGCGCGAAAGCGUGGGGAGCAAACAGG
rnacentral:rRNA from 1 species